CAAAUGAAUUGACGGGACCGCACAAGCGGUGGAUGAUGUGGUUAAUUCGAUGCAACGCGAAAACCUUACCACCUUUGACAUGUACGGAAGUUGCCAGAGAUGGCUUCGUGCUCGAAAGAGAGCCGUAACACAGGUGCUGCAUGGCUGUCGUCAGCUCGUGUCGUGAGAUGUUGGGUUAAGUCCCGCAACGAGCGCAACCCUUGUCAUUAGUUGCUACGAAAGGGCACUCUAAUGAGACUGCCGGUGACAAACCGGAGGAAGGUGGGGAUGACGUCAAGUCCUCAUGGCCCUUAUAGGUGGGGCUACACACGUCAUACAAUGGCUGGUACAAAGGGUUGCCAACCCGCGAGGGGGAGCCAAUCCCAUAAAGCCAGUCGUAGUCCGGAUCGCAGUCUGCAACUCGACUGCGUGAAGUCGGAAUCGCUAGUAAUCGUGGAUCAGCAUGUCACGGUGAAUACGUUCCCGGGUCUU
rnacentral:rRNA from 1 species